UGAACGUGCCAAUAGCAAAAUAUUCCGUCAUAAAACCCAUUUGCAAAUUGCAGUUCGUAUUUAUUCCCUCUCCCCUUUUAUUUUAUUUAUCUUCCAAAUUGAUAUUCAACCCUCUUCUUCCUAAAACGUUAUGGGUUUUUAUCAAUUCUCGACAAAAUCUUGAAAACCAAUUAAUUUCUCACCUGGGACACAUAGAGGCACUUUGACCUGGCAAUAAGCAUGGCUGUUGAGGGAAGUCAACAGAGUGAUGUCUCUGAGCUGAAUGGUGUUUUAGUAGCUGGAGACAAGUCAAAUGAUGAUUCCGAAAUUAGAAAUGAUGUUGAGGAUGAAGCUACGGCUGUUGACGAUUCUAAAAUGGCAUUUCCUUUGAGGGAUGAGAUCGGCGUUUCUGAAACUAUAAACAGUGAUGUUAGGAAUGAAGCUGAGGAACUUAACUUGAUUUCUCCUACAAAAGAUGAUGCUGGCUUCAGCUUAUCCAAGUGCUCAGCUACUCAAAUUGGUGCUUCAAUGGAAGAUGAUUCUGAAAUCAGAAAUCAUGUUGUCGGGGACGGAACAAGUGUUUUUGAUGCUUCAAAAUUGUUUUUCCCUAUGGAAGAUGAGAAUGAUGCUUCUGAAAUUAGGAACAAUAAUGUCACCUGUGGAGCCGAGGUUUUUGAUUCCACUAAAGUGGCUUCACCAAUGGAAAAGGAGAAUGUUCCUUCUGAAACUAGAAACGAUGCUGAUAACCAUGGAGCCGAUGGUUUUGGUUCUUCCAAAGUGACUUCACCCAUGGAAGAGGAGAGUGAUGCAACUGAAAUUAGAAACAAUGUUGAUAGCAGUGGAGGUGAGGGUUUUGAUGCUUCUAAAGUGAUUUUCCCCAUGGAAGAUAAGAAUGAUGCAUCUGAAUUGAGAAAAAAUGUUGUCAGCAGUGGAGCUGAGGGUUUUGACGCAUCUAAAAUAAUUUCUGCCGUGGAAGAGGAGAAUAAUACGUCUGAAAUUGGAAACAAUGUUGUGAGUAGUGGAGCUGAGGGUUUCGAUUCUUCUAAAGUGAUUUUCCCAAUGGGAGAUGCGAAUGAUGCGUCUGCAAUUAGAAAUAAUGUUGUUAGUAGUGGAUCCGAAGGUUUUGCCGCUUUUAAAGUGAAUUCCCCCAUGGAUGGUAAGAAUGAUGUGUCUGAUAUAAGAAACAAUGUUGUUAGCAGUGGAGCUGAGGGUUUCGACGCUUCCAAAAUAAGUACUCCUAUUAUAGGCAAUGGUGUUUGUCUUUCCAAGUGCCCAGCUACUGAUGAAGAUAUGCCUUCCAUUGUGGAAAAUUGUAAGGGCCACAGUGAACCUAAAAAGAGCGCGGAGCUGAGAGAGAGAAAAAAAAGCAAGUAUUUGUCCCCCCCUUAUGUGAACCUGAACAAGGGGUCAAAAGGUUUCUCUAGUUUGUCAGAAAGAUCUGGUAUUCCUGAGGAUGUGGAGGGAAGUGGAUGUAUGUCUGACAAGCAAGCUUCAUCCCCUCCAGUUGGGAAGACUGGGAGCAAAAAGAGAGGGAGAAAAAGUUCAAGAAAAUCUGUGGUCACAUUUGAUAAACUGCUGGAAAUAAGUGCAUCAUCAGCUAAUCUACUCUCAGAACUUCGUUUGGCGGCUUUAGAUUGUCUAUAUCCUUAUGAUAAUAAUGUUUUUGAUCCUACUGAGAUAUUCUUUAAUGGGUUUCGGGCUUCGGUAUAUCGUGGUGAAGUGAAUGGGAAGAGCACAAGUGGCCAGGAUGAAAAGGGAUUGGUGGAUGGGUUAACUGAAGAGCUUCCUGCUGCUGCAGGUUUAGCUACUCAGGUAGGAACCUCAAAUCAAAGUAAACCUCGACAAAGAAAGAGAAAGAAAGAGGAAAAAACAUCAGAAUCUGCUGGUGGUUUGGCUGAUAAGAUUCAGAAUGUCCAGUUAGGAAGCUCGAAUAAAGGUAAGCCUGGACUAAAAAAGCGAAAGAAAGGGGAUAUAACAGCAGUUGCAUCUGCUGGUGUGUUUCCUACUGGUCUGUAUGAUGUUAAUGUAAAUGCUGCUGAAACUUGUUCAUUCACUGUAGAAAAUUAUCCGUCAAAGGUUGCAUCAACAGUGAAUAUGAAACAGCAACUGAAGAGAAAGGAGGAAGUGGCUGCUGAGGUGCCUAAACAGACACCUGCAUUUACCCUGGACUUCUCUCAGGAGACUAUACAGACAAUUCCGUCGUCUGUUGCGCUCUCUCAAGAGCCUAAACAGACACAAAAUUUGUGCUUUGAGAGUAAGGAUGUAAUUGGCCUUUCAGAUUUAAAUGGCCAUUCUGUUCCUGAGGGUGUGCCUGGUCCCAAAAAGAGGGGGAGAAAGAAGGGGGUGAGUCCUGCAGUUGUUAAAUCUGACGGGAAUCCUGAGAAAAAGAAGAGGAGGAGGCGGCGGAAGGAUGGGACUUAUGCUGAUGAUGUAAUGACUAAUAAUGCCCCCCCUUUGAGCGCUAAUGGAACCAACAUGAAACCCAUUUCAUUGGAGGUAUGUUUGCGGAAUGUGGGCCUACAAUCUCCUGUUCCACAAACAGCAACAGCUUGUUUGAACAGUGGAAACAACAAUCAUGUAACUCCACCAACACCAAUGCAGCCUGGUGAUGUGGCUAGUUCCCCUUCUGUCGCCAAGACUCCUGGUACCCCUGCCGGAGAAGCACCAUCAAUAGAACAGAUAAGGAAGAAUCUCGAGAUGAUGACGUCCAUGCUGGAAAAUUCGGGGAACACUCUCUCUGUUGAGUUAAAAGCGCAUUUGGAGGCUGAGAUCAAUGGACUUUUGAAGAAAGUAAGCUCCAAUCCUGGCUCAUCCCUGUCUUAGUUGAUCAGCAACUGUAACAUAUGUAGGUGCUCUAGUGAAGCGUGUCUGAAAAACUUUGCUACUCUUGCUAAGUUAUUUUGCCUCCCCAUUUUGUUCAUUAGAUUGAUAUAUGCUGAUCGUUCAGAACAAGUGUUCCCCCCCCCCCCCCCCCCCCCCCCCCCAAGAUUAAGUUGUCUCAGUUGCUCCUCUUGUGCCUCAGUCUCCUUUUAUUUUGCAUUGCUGGUGCACUUGAAACGAAGCAUUAACUUAUUUUUUUGGAAGUUGCAUGUAUUUGGCACAGGAGGGAGUACUGAAUUAUUGAUGGGAACUUAUUUAAUGGUUAUGACUUAUGAGUAGUAAAUUUCUGAACCUCAUUUGUGUUUUUUCUCUAUUGUUUGACAUGCUGUGUGCUGCAAAUUUUCCACGAAGUACGGGGUAUGACCGUAUGAACUAUGAAUUACUCCGUACUUUAUAUUAAUUUUUGCCAUUUUCUACGAUGGCAUAUUGGCAUGCAGAUGCCAGCAUGUCCUUAUAUCUUAUCCUCCAGAGGCUGUCUAGGCCAAUAUACUAUAUAUGCUACAGUUUCAAAUAUAGGGGGUAGUUUAGUAAUUUCGUACUUGCUGAUUGGGAUAAGCACUAUGAGCUUGCUGAUUAGGAUUACAUGACUGAGCAUGAGUUUGGUAUACGUAUACCAUUUCAUCUUAAUCGGAUGGAAAGAGAGAGAAAGCUCCCAGUUGUUAUUUUGCUACUCGACUGCCAUCAUCGUCGUUGUUCCACCACCGGCACCGAUCUCCGUGAAUGUCGUACAAUUGCAGUGCUGAUUUCUGAAGAGGGGGAGAAAAACGUUGAAGGUUGAAGGACGAAUUUGGACCGACCCAUACAGGUCAAUUCCUAAAGCCUACGGGAUCGAGAACUGAUUAAGCCACUCUUAAGUCUUAACCACAACCUUGACCUGGGAAGAGAUGAAUCGACUGCUGCUAUUCUUGUUGACAGGCAAAAGCUAUGUAUAGCUACAGUAGGACUGUAGGAGAUUGGGUGAGAUUGAUGUUGCAUUUCUUGCAUGCUCAUGGGUAUGUAUGGUUGCUGGUCACUUGCUGUUUUUGUACUACAGGCAUGAUUGCUAGUGGCAUAUUUGUUGUGCUUUUCGGCAUUCUGGAAUAUUCAUGCCUUUUGGUUCUUUCUACUGAUGCAAAUGACGAAACAUUAUGGAUUUUUGUGACUUGUUUUUUUUCAUGAAGAAACUUGAAUCUAUUAUUGUUGAGUAUAUCUAUUAUUCAAACUCGUAUUAGUUGUCGUAUACACUAUUUUUGUGAAAUCCAUUUAUAUAUUAUUUGAGACGAGAACCAAAUAUAAUUUCUUGUAAUUGUGACAAUAUUAAUAUUCAAAUUAUAAAAUUCUUGCAAUUUAGAUGGUGGACCAUGUUGCACAGUAAGCAUGAUGCACUUUAAGAACAAAAGUGCAUAGCUAAAAAAAAUAAAAAAUUAUAACAAGUGAAAUAUUUUAUAACAAGAAAGUGAACAAUAUAUCGCAUACUCUUUCGUUGCAAUGCCAUGUUCUUUUGUCUGUAUAUUUAUUUUCUUUGUGUGCACCAUGCUCAUUGUGCACCUAGUCAUAAUCCACGAGUUGUAAAGUUCUCCAAGCUCAUAUUAGAAUUUUAAAGUUCCCCGAGCUCAUAUAUUAGUAUGUUAUUAUUAUUACUUUAUAGUUUCUUUUAAGUGUAACAAUACCUAUGAAGCUCAGGUACGACUCUUGUGUACCGUUUCCUGUACCUGGUACGGAUACGGUACGAGUACGCCCAAGAUACGUACCCAUGACGAAUCCAAACCGGCGGGUAUGCGGGUAGCUUAUGGAUACGGUUUAGGUAAACUCGUGUACGACAUGGGUACGUAUUUGAAUAGGAAUGGACGUACCCAACAAGUGAUAUUUUUGAGGCCAAAUUCACAUUUGAGGGUUUUCAAGAUCUCUCACCACCUCGCCGCCGGUCGUAGAAACCAACAGUCAAGAUCUCUCCUGCCGUUGCAACCCCUCAUCACCGGUUGAUUAAGGAAGAAGACGACUUUUAAUUUUAACAACGGCGGUGGAAGAGAGGAUUGGCGUGAAAAAGACGAAGAAGACUGGCGUGGUCGCGUGAAUAAGGACUUCAAGGCUCAUUCCCUUUUUAAUCAACUUUACUAUUUUUAUUUUAUUUACUGUAGUGUGUACAACUGUUACUAAGUCUUUUACUUUACCUUUAUUUAUUGUAGUGUGUACAGCUGUUCUUUUUAAUUUUCUUUUACUUUUAAAGGGAGAAAGUUUCCUUUAUUAUGGACAGUUGUAAUUAAGUCUUUUUUGGGGCUGCAUUACAUUUCUUUAUUUAUUUUUCUUUAUUUA